GUCUUUUGACCUUGAUCCCUAGAGCAGGUAUGGGUGGGGCUUUGGAUGACUAACUCCAAUCUCCAGCCUUUUCUCUAAUCCUAGGAAUUUUUUUUUCUCCCUGGAAGAGGAGUACAGUCAAGGAAGCUUGAUAACCAUGAGUUUGGAAAACUUGAAUUUACUCAGCAAUCUCUGGACCCAGAUUCCAAUUUGUGCUUUCCUUAUUGAAUCCCGGAAACCAGCAACCUUGAAGUAAUCUCCCUCUAUAUAGGCAGUUGGGGUCAAACUAAUCUCUUUGAAGCUAACCUGCAAAUCUGAGACAUGCCAGACUAUUAAGAAGAAAGUGAUGAAAAGGCAUUGCUGCUUCUUUCUCAGAGCAGGUCUUGGACUACAGCCCCACUGUCUCACCCUGGACGGAUGGUGGUAUCAGAAUUCUUCUACCCAGCAACAGAUUACCUCCCUUCAAUCAAGUUUGCCUUCAUAAGCUCUCAUCAUUGCUGGAUAGCAACUUGGUUGAAGUUUUCUUUUCCCUAAUUGCUGCUAUUCUCUUUUUAUGACUUCUCCACAGUCCCAUACAAAAGAGAAGGGGCUCAUCAACGAUUUAGAUGAGCAUACUAUUACUAUAAAAAGGACAAAAAAAGGUCAUUUUGUGAACAGAAUGACUUAAAAGCUAUAUUAACAUCUGAGGUAAUCAUUAGAUUUGAUUGUCCCCAAACCACAGUUGUCUCUUAACCAUUACAUCAAUAUUCCCAAAGGAUCCAGUCACUUCCCUCAGGACAGACACCCGUGGUUAUAUUGCACCAUGUCGUGUUAAAAAUCUUUGGCUCCAGUAAGACACAAAAUACUGCCCCCACCUUUAACCAAUCAUCAUGCCACUAAAAAUACUCCCCAUUUCCUGUAAACCCUUCAGAGGAAGCCACGCACCCAGGAUAGGCCCCAUUAAGUUUUCUAGGGCUUACAUGAGACAUGCUGCACAUGCCUUAAAUGAUUCCUUUGCAGGACUCCUGAAAGUGCUCACAUUCUCAGGGCAGUUACUACAAUCCUAGAACCAAAGCAGUCGUUGUUGACUGCCAGAUUUUAUUUUCCCUAUAAAAAUGAGCAAGCUCUGACACCUGGUGAAAUGUUAUUCUUCCGGAUGAGAGCCAAUUUUAUGAAAUCCAAGGCAUGUGGUAGACUAUGAACGCUUUAAAGGGGAAAAAAAAAGUUUUGGAUUCAGCAUGCUUUCCAUUUCUUAGACAGAGAGUAAGAACUGAAACGAUUUUCCUAAGAAGGCCCUGUAACUUGAUUCCACCUGAGUUCAGAGCCAUGGGAUUUGCCAUGCAUGUAAUAAAGUCACGGAGUUUUCCAUUUCAUACCCUACAAGUAUAUGAAGGUAAUAUUUCCUAUUAAAUAUCUGCAUUGUUUAAAGAAGCAGCAACAAAAACACAAUCUUUUCCAGAAAACUAAAUUUUAUGCUUGCAUACACAUUUUCAAGCAACAGAGUCCUCAAAUCUAGACUUCAAUUUGUUAUUGUUGUUGUUGUUACUAGUUGUUUUCCAGUCAUGUCUAACUCUUCUUGAGCUUAUUUGG